AUUGAACGCUGGCGGCAUGCUUUACACAUGCAAGUCGAGCGGCAGCGCGGGGGCAACCCUGGCGGCGAGCGGCGAACGGGUGAGUAAUGCAUCGGAACGUAUCCUCGAGUGGGGGAUAACCCAGCGAAAGUUGGGCUAAUACCGCAUGAGCUCUGAGGAGGAAAGCGGGGGACCUGCGAGGGCCUCGCGCUGGAGGAGCGGCCGAUGUCCGAUUAGCUAGUUGGUGGGGUAAAGGCUUACCAAGGCGACGAUCGGUAGCUGGUCUGAGAGGAUGAUCAGCCACACUGGGACUGAGACACGGCCCAGACUCCUACGGGAGGCAGCAGUGGGGAAUUUUGGACAAUGGGGGCAACCCUGAUCCAGCCACGCCGCGUGAGUGAAGAAGGUCUUCGGGUUGUAAAGCUCUUUCGGACGGAACGAAAUGGGCGGGACUAAUACUCCUGUCUGAUGACGGUACCGUAAGAAGAAGCACCGGCUAACUACGU
rnacentral:rRNA from 1 species